CCAUCUUCUUCUUCUUCAAUCUCUCCCAAUCCUUUUACCCCCAAAAUCAAAACCACAUCCAACCAGUUGGCGGUCAACGGCACCACCGAGGAGGCUUUUUUCAGCUUUGAAGACAAUUUCUCCUCAAUAGCAUACAAAACAAGUAGGAUAAAGGCACCAAAUGUGCUAGAAAAUCAGCAAAAAAUCCUACAAGUUGCAAUGUCCAAGUCACCGAGCUCUAAACAAAUGCAGAAAACUGCAAAAUAGACUAUGUUGACCAAAUUCAAAUUCAAAAAUUAAUCAACCAGCACCUCUACACACACAAUACAUAUAUAUUUUGCAAUUUGGAAAACCCCAAGAACACACAGUAAAAGAGGUUCACCGAAAACCCCAAGAACAGAAGUAGCUAAACCUUGGCUGGGCGUCUCAAAGUAGAAGAAAAACAAUCGAACACAAGAAACCUGAAAACAAACCAAAGCUGGAAUCGGAUAGAAAAUCAGGCUAUCCCAAAUCUGAAACUCACCAAAAACUGCUAGCUGAACUGAAAUAAGCCAAAGCAGAAAGUCUGUAUACCAUCAAAAUGAAAACCCAUCGAUUUAUUCAUCAUUUCCAUCUUCUUCUUCGCUGCCACUUUUGACCCCGAAAGUAAUUCCUUCCAUGGCUGCAACAUCACAGGAGGGUCCUUCUUCUAUUGUGGCUACUGAUGUUGUAGAAUUAGGUUUGCAUGCAUCAAUGAAUGAUAUUGAAAUGAUGGAGAUAUGAUCAAUUGGGGUUAGGGGACUGGGAGAGAUUGAAGGAGGAGAUGGGGUUUUUG
rnacentral:lncRNA from 1 species